UCUAACUGCGGGUAGCCAAGGCUACGCCGUAUACUCUGCGUGCUCGAAUUAACGUUUAAGCGAUCUUUCAAGAUAGCCGACCGCAGGGGGAAAAGCCGCUGAAUGCGGCUUUUCUUUUAGGCCGC
rnacentral:sRNA from 12 species